rnacentral:rRNA from 1 species
GACGAACGCUGGCGGCGUGCCUAAUACAUGCAAGUAGAACGCUGAAGAGAGGAGCUUGCUCUUCUUGGCUGAGUUGCGAACGGGUGAGUAACGCGUAGGUAACCUGCCUUGUAGCGGGGGAUAACUAUUGGAAACGAUAGCUAAUACCGCAUAACAAUGGAUGACACAUGUCAUUUAUUUGAAAGGGGCAAUUGCUCCACUACAAGAUGGACCUGCGUCGUAUUAGCUAGUAGGUGAGGUAAUGGCUCACCUAGGCGACGAUACAUAGCCGACCUGAGAGGGUGAUCGGCCACACUGGGACUGAGACACGGCCCAGACUCCUACGGGAGGCAGCAGUAGGGAAUCUUCGGCAAUGGGGGCAACCCUGACCGAGCAACGCCGCGUGAGUGAAGAAGGUUUUCGGAUCGGAAAGCUCUGUUGUAAGUCAAGAACGGGUGUGAGAGUGGAAAGUUCACACUGUGACGGUAGCUUACCAGAAAGGGACGGCUAACUACGUG